rnacentral:rRNA from 1 species
UCGAAGGUAGCAUAAUCAGUAGUCUUUUAAUUGAAGGCUGGUAUGAAUGGUUGGACGAGAUAUUAACUGUUUCAUAAAAAUUUAUAAUAGAAUUUUAUUUUUUAGUCAAAAAGCUAAAAUAUAUUUAAAAGACGAGAAGACCCUAUAAAUCUUUAUAUUUAGUUUAUUAUAAUUUUGUAGAUUUUUUUUGUUAUAAUAUAUGAUUAUAUUUUAUUGGGGUGAUAUUAAAAUUUAAUAAACUUUUAAUUUUAAGAAUCAUUAAUUUAUGAAUAAUUGAUCCGUUAUUAACGAUUAAAAAAAUAAGUUACUUUAGGGAUAACAGCGUAAUUUUUUUGGAGAGUUCUUAUCGAUAAAAAAGAUUGCGACCUCG